UACGAAGGGGGCUAGCGUUGUUCGGAAUCACUGGGCGUAAAGGGCGCGUAGGCGGCCGAUCAAGUCGGGGGUGAAAGCCUGUGGCUCAACCACAGAAUUGCCUUCGAUACUGUUUGGCUUGAGACCGGAAGAGGUAAGUGGAACUGCGAGUGUAGAGGUGAAAUUCGUAGAUAUUCGGAAGAACACCAGUGGCGAAGGCGGCUCACUGGACCGGUAUUGACGCUGAGGUGCGAAAGCGUGGGGAGCAAACAGG
rnacentral:rRNA from 1 species